rnacentral:tRNA from 1 species
UUUAGGGAGACCUCCCACCUCUUAGCUGAACAGUUUGAGAUUCAAGCAAUUGGAUGUCAAAGCCAUUAAGUAAGAGAUGGUCAUCCCAAGGUCGUUCGAGAUUUGUGAUGGUGUGGCUUUCAAACGAGUCUAGGGAUAGACAGAUGGGCUAUUAGCUCAGGUGGUUAGAGCGCACCCCUGAUAAGGGUGAGGUCCCUGGUUCGAGUCCAGGAUGGCCCACCUUGGGGGUUUAGCUCAGCUGGUAGAGCGCCUGCUUUGCAAGCAGGAUGUCAGCGGUUCGAGUCCGCUAACCUCCACUUGAAUUUUACUGUUUCAUGCAUCAGUUGUUUGAUAGCAGCUCUUGCGAAGAUUGUAAGGCUCAAAAAAGAGGCAGGCAUAAGCUCUGUUCCAAUCUGUUUUUUUAUUUUUGUCGUAGUUUCUGAUUCAGCACCUUUUCCUGAGUUCCAGGUCAGACUGCUGGGUAUCGAUUCAGCUAGAACCUUGAAAACUGCAUAGUAACUUGUCAGGUAGAAGUAAGUGAUUAACGAUUAGCCGCAAGUAAUUAGCCUCCAAGCUAAGAGCUAAAAGCUAAGAGCUAAGAGCUUAAAUCAUAGACACCAAUGUUGCAACUUGAGAAAGUUGAUAGUUAAUUAGU